rnacentral:rRNA from 1 species
UACGUAGGGGGCAAGCGUUGUCCGGAAUCAUUGGGCGUAAAGAGCGUGUAGGCGGCCCGGUAAGUCCGCUGUGAAAGUCGGGGGCUCAACCCUCGAAUGCCGGUGGAUACUGUCGGGCUCGAGUACGGGAGAGGCGAGUGGAAUUCCUGGUGUAGCGGUGAAAUGCGUAGAUAUGUGGAGGAAUACCGAUGGCGAAGGCAGCCUCCUGGGAUAACACUGACGCACAUGCACGAAAGCGUGGGGAGCAAACAGG